rnacentral:rRNA from 1 species
UACGAAGGGGGCUAGCGUUGCUCGGAAUCACUGGGCGUAAAGGGCGCGUAGGCGGCCAUUCAAGUCAGAGGUGAAAGCCCAAGGCUCAACCUUGGAACUGCCUUUGAUACUGUUUGGCUUGAGUCCGGGGAGAGGUGAGUGGAACUGCGAGUGUAGAGGUGAAAUUCGUAGAUAUUCGCAAGAACACCAGUGGCGAAGGCGGCUCACUGGCCCGGAUACUGACGCUGAGG